rnacentral:rRNA from 1 species
ACUCCUACGGGAGGCAGCAGUGGGGAAGUAUUGCACAAUGGGCGCAAGCCUGAUGCAGCAACGCCGUGUGAGUGAAGAAGGUUUUCGGUAUCGUAAAACUACUGUCCUAAGGGAAGAAACAAAUAGACGGUACCUUAGGAGGAAGCCCCGGCCUAACUACGUGCCAGCAGCCGCGGUAAUACGUAGGGGCGAAGCGUUAUCCGGAAUCACUGGGCGUAAAGGGUGCGUAGGCGGCUUAGCAAGCCAGGGGUGAAAGGCAUUGGCUCAACCAAUGUAAGCCUUUGGAACUGUUAAGCUUGAGUGCAGGAGAGGUAAGUGGAAUUCCUAGUGUAGAGGUGAAAUUCGUAGAUAUUAGGAGGAACACCAGUGGCGAAGGCGACUUACUGGACUGUAACUGACGCUGAUGCACGAAAGCGUGGGUAGCGAACAGGAUUAGAUACCCUGGUAGCACAGAG